AUAAAACACACGUACUUGUUAAUUCAGAACUUUAAAAUAAUAAUAAUAACAAAUGUUAUAAGAUUUAGUUAAUUAUACAGAUGCAGUGGUUUGAUUUUGUCGUUCAUUCAAGGAAUUUCUGGGAAAUUGCAGGGUGAGGAAAUGGAGUUGAGAUUAAGGAAUCGAAGUAGAAAUGGAAUAGGAAAAUAAGGAGCAAAAUGGAUGAAUUCAAUUUGCAAUCGACAGGUCUAAAAGAAGAAGAAGAAG
rnacentral:misc_RNA from 1 species